rnacentral:rRNA from 1 species
GAUGAACGCUGGCGGCGUGCCUAAUACAUGCAAGUCGAACGCUGGAAAUCUAGCUUGCUAGAUUGAAGGAGUGGUGAACGGGUGAGUAAUACAUAAGCAACCUACCCACGAAGACUGGGAUAAUCUCUGGAAACGGGGACUAAUACCGGAUAGGUAAUCGGAAGGCAUCUUCUGAUUAUUAAAGGUUAAAAACACUGGUGGAUGGGCUUAUGGCGCAUUAGUUAGUUGGUGAGGUAACGGCCCACCAAGACGAUGAUGCGUAGCCGGCCUGAGAGGGUGAACGGCCACAUUGGGACUGAGACACGGCCCAGACUCCUACGGGAGGCAGCAGUAGGGAAUUUUCGGCAAUGGGGGAAACCCUGACCGAGCAACGCCGCGUGAGUGAUGACGGCCUUCGGGUUGUAAAGCUCUGUUGUAAGGGAAGAACGGUAGAUAGAGAAUAUCUAAAUGACGGUACCUUACCAGAAAGCCACGGCUAACUACGUG